rnacentral:lncRNA from 7 species
AGAGGGAGUGUAGGUGUGUUCAUGCUUUGUUUCAGGUGUGUUCACCUGAUAGAGUGACUGGAGAUUGUCAGAGAGAAGCCCUAAUGGAAAUAUAUCCUGCAGGUGAGGCAAGGAGGUAGUUUUGGCUGUCCUAGGCCUCUGACAUAGUUUUGAGGAAAACAGCAGAGCCAGGCUUCUCUUGAAAGAGGAGGAAGGUGAUGGAAGCCAUCACUUCACCAAUAGUGGAGGAAGAUGGAGGUACAGAGCGACAAGGAUGGAAAGAAGGGUGGGAAGAUAUCUAUGGCUUACGCAGAUGGUGUAGUCAUAUCUUCAUCUUGCUCCAACUAAAAUCAACAGAAGAAUUAAAACCACUUGUAGCCACGACAAGAUCUGAAUGUGAUACACACCUAAACCCUUCAGCAAAAUGUACCUUAGGGACUGCUGCUGGCUACACCGCAAGAAUUCUCCUUGAAGAGGAGGCUUCAGCAUCUGCUCUGGGACUGCCCAGUUUUAGUGGAUGUCUCUGGGAUGCUGCUUUGGCUCAAGCUCCAACAAUGAGCAGAGAAGAGCCAAGGUGGGACGCUCACUGGGCAACAAGUUGCUGUGGCUCUCAGCCUGGCAUGGGCUGGUCUGUCUGGGCACAGACGUUUUGGACACUAAGUCCAAGAGGGCUUCAGACCUUUGUCUGACAGAAACUUCUUGGGCUUCGUCUGUGCCACUGGGAAGUGACUGCCUGUAAGGUUUCUGAACUUGUAUGUUAAAGCAGAGAUCAGAGCUUCCAGCUAUUCUCUACAAGCCCAAGAGCAUGAUGUAUUUUAACUUAGCGGGGGGUUUGUCACAACCAUACACUUUGAAGACCUGAUGUCUCAAGUAAAGUAUCAGCUAGUAUAAAACUUCAAAUUAAAUAAUGUCUAUUGGC